rnacentral:rRNA from 1 species
GCCUACGACCAUAUCACCCUGAAUGCGCCCGAUCUCGUCUGAUCUCGGAAGCUAAGCAUGGUCGAGCCUUGUUAGUACUAAGAUGGGAGACUGCCUGGGAAUAGGAUGGGAGACU